UACGUAGGGGGCAAGCGUUGUCCGGAUUUAUUGGGCGUAAAGAGCGUGUAGGCGGCCAGGUAGGUCGGUUGUGAAAACUCGAGGCUCAACCUCGAGACGUCGGCGGAAACCAUCUGGCUAGAGUCCGGAAGAGGAGAGUGGAAUUCCUGGUGUAGCGGUGAAAUGCGCAGAUAUCAGGAAGAACACCAACGGCGAAGGCAGCUCGCUGGGACGGUACUGACGCUGAGACGCGAAAGCGUGGGGAGCGAACAGG
rnacentral:rRNA from 1 species